UCAUGUUCUCACACCAAUAACUGAGGAAAAGGAAAAUAACAACUGAUUCCCUCAGUAACGGCGAGUGAACAGGGAAAAGCUCACAGUUGGAACCUAGCUGCCUUAGGUAGUUCGGAUUGUAAACUGAAAAAGUGUUAUCCAGGCUAGCCGAGUAAAUAAGUUUCUUGGAAUAGAACAUCAUGGAGGGUGAGAAUCCCGUCUUUGGCUUGAGCAUAGUCUUUUGUGUUGCACUUUAACGAGUCAGGUUGUUUGGGAAUGCAGCCUAAAGUGGGAGGUAAAUCCCUCCUAAAGCUAAAUAUUGGCGAGAGACCGAUAGCAAACAAGUACCGUGAGGGAAAGAUGAAAAGAACUUUGAAAAGAGAGUUAAACAGUAUGUGAAAUUGCUAAAAGGGAAGCGUUUGAAGACAGACUAGCUUGGUUAUAAUCAGCCUGGAUUUUUCUUGGUGUACUUGUAGCCUAUGCUUGCCAACAGCAGUUUGGUCUGGCUGAAAAAACUAGUAGUAAGGUGGCUCUCUUCGGGGAGUGUUAUAGACUAUUAGAAAAUCAGUUGGACUGGACUGAGGAAUGCAAUGCAGCUUGCCUUGGGGUGAACCAGAUUGGAUAGGAACCAUUGUUCCUUGAAGGUUUGGGUAGCUCUUCGAACUGUAUUUAGGUUGUUGGCUUAAUGUCUUWAAACGGCCCGUCUGAA
rnacentral:rRNA from 1 species